rnacentral:rRNA from 1 species
UACGGGGGGAGCAAGCGUUGUUCGGAUUUACUGGGCGUAAAGGGCGCGUAGGCGGUCAGCACAAGUCAGUUGUGAAAUCUCCGGGCUUAACUCGGAAAGGUCAACUGAUACUGUGCGACUAGAGUGCAGAAGGGGCAACUGGAAUUCUCGGUGUAGCGGUGAAAUGCGUAGAUAUCAGGAGGAACACCGGUGGCGAAGGCGGGUCUCUGGGCCGUAACUGACGCUGAGGAGCGAAAGCGUGGGGAGCGAACAGG